UACGUAGGGGGCAAGCGUUGUCCGGAUUUAUUGGGCGUAAAGAGCGUGUAGGCGGCCAGGUAGGUCAGCUGUGAAAAACUCGAGGCUCAACCUCGAGACGCCGGUUGAAACCAUCUGGCUAGAGUCCGGAAGAGGAGAGUGGAAUUCCUGGUGUAGCGGUAGAAAUGCGCAGAUAUCAGGAAGAACACCCGUGGCUAAGGCGGCUCUCUAGUACGGUACUGGACGCUGAGACGCGAAAGCGUGGGGAGCGAACAGG
rnacentral:rRNA from 1 species